rnacentral:rRNA from 1 species
UACGGGGGGGGCAAGCGUUGUUCGGAAUUACUGGGCGUAAAGGGCUCGUAGGCGGCCAACUAAGUCAUACGUGAAAUCCCUCGGCUUAACCGGGGAACUGCGUCUGAUACUGGAUGGCUUGAGUUCGGGAGAGGGAUGCGGAAUUCCAGGUGUAGCGGUGAAAUGCGUAGAUAUCUGGAGGAACACCGGUGGCGAAGGCGGCAUUCUGGACCGAUACUGACGCUGAGGAGCGAAAGCCAGGGGAGCAAACGGG